GGCAGACACACAGGCGGCUGGAUGUCAAGAGGAGCACAACAGAGGAGGAACACAGAGGUGGCUAGACACAGAGAGUAACACACUGACGGCUGGACAUACGGAGUAAAACACCGACAGGCACGGGCACCCUGGCAGGCCACCGACCAUUAGAAAUAGAAUGACAUGGAGUUUAGCUGGGGCAGUCAGAGGAGAGCCCAGGCUGCUGAACGGCUCGACUCUAGGGGAAACCCUUCCCACUCCACCCCUUCUGACUUUCCGAGAGCUGCUUCCACCCAAUAAAACCUUGCAAUCAUUCUCCAAGCCCAGGUGUGAUCAGAUUCUUUCGGUACAUCAAGGUAAGAACCUGGGAUACAGAAAGCCUCUGUCCCUGAGACAAAGUAGAAGGUCUAAGGGAGCUGCUUAACACAAGCCACCUAUAGACGGCAAAACUAAAAGAGCAAAACUAGAAGAGCACCCUGUGACACACUCCCACUGGGGCUUCAGGAGCUGCAAACAUUCACCCCUACACACUGCUGUGCAGUCGGAGCCCCAUAGCCUGCCCGUCUGUAUGCUCCCCUAGAGGUUUGAGCAGCGGGGCACUGAAGAAGCAACCCCAUUACACGGCCUGCGAGGGGGACAAGGAUCUCUCCCUGUGGUGCCUAGGUUGGUUUAAAACUCUUGGCCUCAAGCGAUCCUCCCACCUUGAAUUCCCAAAGCAAGGUGCUAUUAGUAAUUGGCUCAGAGAACUCGCCAUUAGGGGCAGUGCAUCACUUAACAAUGGCUGGGCGUGAAAGAGAGCCCUGCUCUACUGACCCUUCAAUGUGCCCGUGUGCCUAAAUAUUCCUGGUCGUGUGAAAAGAACCCAGGUAUUAGCUGAACUAAGGAGCACAAUUCUGCAACAUUUUGGCACCCAAACACGGGGCUUGAGAAAUGAAUGCAAUUGGAGAAACUGGUUGUUUUACCAGGCGUUGAUUGGAAAUGUGUGCUUCCCUUUAAGCAGUCAAGCUCAACUUGCAGAACUGAUGGGAACCCCUUGGGAAAACUGGCCUCAAAUGUUUGUCUACACAGUCCACAUACAGGGUUCUUAACCUGCGACUGACCCUGCUUGUGCCUGUGAACCAACCAACAAUCUCUGGCUGCAGCUCAGAAAGGACAAAAGAGAAUGGAUGAGGGAAACUUCCCAGGGCUUGUCUGGGUAUGCCCACAGUGGACUGGAGCCCAAAAUGCACACUGGAGGAAGUGGAUGGAGCCACGUGGAUGUCAUGCCUUAUGCAGGGGAGGAGCCUGCUCUCUUCAGCUCCUGUGGUAAUGUGGGAAUCGAUCUGUGAGGAAACACUUUCUGAAAAUGUCAGAACUCUUGAAAACAUGGAUGAGGAAAAGCAUAAGUACUGCUUUAUGCUUUUCUUAUGAAUUUUAAAAGAUGUAAUUUAAAGAUGGAGUCUUGUUCUGUGGUCCAGGCUAGAGGGCAGUGGCAUGAUCUCGGCUCACUACAAGCUCUGCCUCCCGGGUUCACGCCAUUCUCCUGCCUCAGCCUCCUGAGUAGCUGGGACUACAGGCGCCCGCCACCACGCCUGGCUAAUUUUUUGUAUAUUUACUAGAGAUGGCUAGUGUUAGCCAAGAUGGUCUCGAUCUCCUGACCUCGUGAUCUGCCCACCUCAGCCUGCCAAAGUGCUGGGAUUACUGGCGUGAGCCACCGUGCCUGGCCAGCAUCCUCUAAUUAUUAUUCAUAGUUUGUGAAUUUAGGCCUACGUGAAUAAUAAUAUAAUAUUUACUAUGAUGUUACUAUCUACCAACCUUAUUUUUCUUUUCUAUAAAAUAGGAGCCAAAAUAAUAUUUAUGUCAUACCUUAUGAAGUUAAAAUAAAAUAUAACGAAUGAGGGGCUUAACAA
ensembl:lncRNA PURPL p53 upregulated regulator of p53 levels